rnacentral:snRNA from 1 species
GGAUGUGAGGGCGAUCUGGCUGCGACAUCUGUCACCCCAUUGAUCGCCAGGGUUGAUUCGGCUGAUCUGGGUGGCUAGGCGGGUGUCCCCUUCCUCCCUCACCACUCCAUGUGUGUCCCUCCCAAAGCUGCACACUCAGUUGAAGAGGACGACCUUCCCCACUAGAGGAGGACUGGUCUUCGGUCAAGGGUAUACGAAUAGCUGUGCUCCCCUGCUAGAACCUCCAAACAAGCUCUCAAGGUCCAUAUUUCAUUUAAGUCUUUGGCUAUUGAAAAAAUAGGAUGCAAAUUGUUAAAUUGGUAAAUGCAAUCUUCUCAAAAUUGGCAAAAUAUUUUUAAAA